UACGGGGGGAGCAAGCGUUGUUCGGAUUUACUGGGCGUAAAGGGCGCGUAGGCGGUCGUGACAAGUCACUUGUGAAAUCUCCGGGCUUAACUCGGAACGGUCAAGUGAUACUGUCGGACUAGAGUACAGAAGGGGCAACUGGAAUUCUCGGUGUAGCGGUGAAAUGCGUAGAUAUCGAGAGGAACACCUGCGGCGAAGGCGAGUCUCUGGACAUUUCCUGACGCUGAGGCACGAAAGCCAGGGGAGCAAACGGG
rnacentral:rRNA from 1 species